rnacentral:rRNA from 1 species
CCCUUAGAUGUUCUGGGCCGCACGCGCGCUACACUGAUGCAUUCAACGAGCCUAUCCUUGACCGACAGGUCCGGGUAAUCUUUGAAUCUGCAUCGUGACAGGGAUAGAUUAUUGCAAUUAUUAAUCUUCAACGAGGAAUGCCUAGUAGGCGCAAGUCAUCAGCUUGCGUCGAUUACGUCCCUGCCCUUUGUACACACCGCCCGUCGCUCCUACCGAUUGGGUGUGCUGGUGAAAUGUUCGGAUCGGCCGUUUGUCGCGGUUUCCGCGGCUCGUGGCUGAGAAGUUCAUUAAACCCUCCCACCUAGAGGAAGGAGAAGUCGUAACA